GCAGGCGCGAAACCUUUACACUGCACGACAGUGCGAUAGGGGGAUCCCAAGUGCACAGGCAUAGCGCCUGUGCUUUUCGGUACCCUAAGGCGGUACCAGAAUAAGGGCUGGGCAAGACCGGUGCCAGCCGCCGCGGUAAUACCGGCAGCCCAAGUGAUGGCCGAUCUUAUUGGGCCUAAAGCGUCCGUAGCUGGCCGUACAAGUCCAUCGGGAAAUCCACCUGCUCAACAGGUGGGCGCCCGGUAGAAACUGUGCGGCUUGGGACCGGAAGGCGCGACGGGUACGUCCGGGGUAGGAGUGAAAUCCCGUAAUCCUGGACGGACCGCCGAUGGCGAAAGCACGUCGCGAGAACGGAUCCGACAGUGAGGGACGAAAGCCAGGGUCUCGAACCGGAUUAGAUACCCGGGUAGUCCUGGCCGUAAACAAUGUCUGCUAGGUGUGGCUCCCACUACGAGUGGGUGCUGUGCCGUAGGGAAGCCGCUAAGCAGACCGCCUGGGAAGUACGUCCGCAAGGAUGAAACCUAAAGGAAUUGGCGGGGGAGCACUACAACCGGAGGAGCCUGCGGUUUAAUUGGAUUCAACGCCGG
rnacentral:rRNA from 1 species